GACGAACGCUGGCGGCGUGCUUAACACAUUCACGUCGAACGAUGAAGCUGGAGCUUGCUCUGGCGGAUUAGUGGCGAACGGGUGAGUAACACGUGAGAAAUCUGCCCUUGACUCUGGGAUAACUGCGGGAAACUGUAGCUAAUACCGGAUACUUUCCCUGGUCGGCAUCCACUGGGGAAGAAAGAAUCUCGGUCAAGGAUGACCUCGCGGCCUAUCAGCUUGUUGGUGAGGUAAUGGCUCACCAAGGCGACGACGGGUAGCCGGCCUGAGAGGGUGACCGGCCACACUGGGACUGAGACACGGCCCAGACUCCUACGGGAGGCAGCAGUGGGGAAUAUUGCACAAUGGGCGCAGCCUGAUGCAGCAACGCCGCGUGAGGGAUGAAGGCCUUCGGGUUGUAAACCUCUUUUAGCAGGGAAGAAGCGAAAGUGACGGUACCUGCAGAAAAAGCACCGGCUAACUACGUGCCAGCCGCCGCCGUAA
rnacentral:rRNA from 1 species